rnacentral:rRNA from 1 species
UACGUAGGUGGCAAGCGUUAUCCGGAAUUAUUGGGCGUAAAGCGCGCGCAGGCGGUUUCUUAAGUCUGAUGUGAAAGCCCACGGCUCAACCGUGGAGGGUCAUUGGAAACUGGGGAACUUGAGUGCAGAAGAGAAAAGCGGAAUUCCACGUGUAGCGGUGAAAUGCGUAGAGAUGUGGAGGAACACCAGUGGCGAAGGCGGCUUUUUGGUCUGUAACUGACGCUGAGGCGCGAAAGCGUGGGGAGCAAACAGGAUUAGAUACCCCGGUAGUCC